rnacentral:rRNA from 1 species
CCUACGUGAUGCAGCAGUGAGGAAUAUUGGUCAAUGGGCGCGAGCCUGAACCAGCCAAGUCGCGUGAAGGAUGACUGUCCUACGGGUUGUAAACUUCUUUUAUCAAGGAAUAAAGUGAGGCUCGUGUGCCUUUUUGUAUGUACUUUAUGAAUAAGGAUCGGCUAACUCCGUGCCAGCAGCCGCGGUAAUACGGAGGAUCCGAGCGUUAUCCGGAUUUAUUGGGUUUAAAGGGAGCGUAGAUGGGUUGUUAAGUCAGUGGUGAAAGUUUGCGGCUCAACCGUAAGAUUGCAAUUGAUACUGGCAGUCUUGAGAACAGGUGAGGUAGGCGGAAUGCGUGGUGUAGCGGUGAAAUGCUUAGAUAUCGCGAAGAACUCCGAUUGCGAAGGCAGCAUACUAAACUGCCACUGACAUUGAUGCUCGAAAGUGUGGGUAUCGAACAGGAUUAGAUACCCCUGUAGUC